UUGAACAAUGCAGAUAAGGGAAGUCGGCAAAACGGAUCCGUACCUUCGGAACAAGGAUUGGCUCUAAGGGCUGAACCGGUCGGGCUGAUGCUUCGAUGCGUGUCUGGUGCGGUCGCUGGCUGCCGGUUGGAGGAGCGGUCCGUUCGCCCGGCGUUGGGCUCCCGUCGAUUGCUUGAGCGGCUCUGUCGCGUUGGGCGUCGGCGAUUCGGAUGCGCUUCGCCGGAGCGCGGUCCUUCUGAAGCCGCAGACGGUAACGAAGCCUGCACGCGGACGACUUCAGCUGUGUGUGCUUGUCGGUAACUGACAAGCCGCUUCGUCCGGCAUUGAACAGCCGACUUAGAACUGGCACGGACCCGAGGAAUCGGACUGUAUAAUUAAAACAAAGCAUUGCGACGGCUGGUGAUCGGUGAUGACGCAAUGUGAUUUCUGCCCAGUGCUCUGAAUGUCAAAGUGAAGAAAUUCAACCAUGCGCGGGUAAACGGCGGGAGUAACUAUGACACACCCAACAUUUCAGGUAAGUAUACGUUUAUUUCUCCCCUCAUUCUUCCCAACAAACCAUAUUUUCGGAAAUAACUACGGAA
rnacentral:ncRNA from 1 species